GGGAUCCAGCCGAAUGGAGUGGACAUAGAUCGGUUGGUGGAUACAGGACCCGAUGUUGGUAUACUUUUCCAACAGUUUUGGAAUCCAGAUUUGCUACCUCAGAAGGUUUCCUUCUGUUCAAGCCAAGAUUUUUCAACUGAUCUAUUGAUUACCACAGACUUUGGUCUGCUUACACCAUGUGGAUUCCUACCUCCCAAGUCCCAGCCUCAACCCAUCAGCAAGAACCAGUCAAAGCCAAUGUACUACAGGAAAGGGUCCUGUACGAGAGCCAGGCCAGGCCAGGCCAGCCCAGCCCAUCUGCCUGGUCAUCUUCUCCCAUUUCCUUUCCUCCAAGCUAUAAGCCACACCGGUUUCUGACCACUCUAUAUUCUGGGUUUUCAUCAAAUGACUGAUCAAUUUUUUUCUGAGAGAGGAUUGUGUUAAGUAGCCCAGGUUGUCUUCAAGCUUGGAAUCCUGCCUUCACUUCCUGAGGGCUAGGACCCACUCAUAAGGCUUAUUCAAGGUCACCAUAGCCUCCCAGGUGCUCCCACACCUUGCCCAAGCCAUUCCUGCUAUACUCUAGAUCCAGCUAAUGCCUCAUUUUGGAAAUGCCAGUCGAUACAUUUCCUGUAAGAAGGGAGCCCUGAGGCGCCCGGCUCUGGGCCAUCCUUCACCCAUCUUUAUUGUUGGGAUGAAUCGUCUGUCUGUCUGUCUGUCUCCCUACAAGACUGUGAGGCUGGAACUUGCUGCAUAGAAGGUCUUCAAGAAAUGAUGGGGUAAUGGGACAGAGCCUUUGCCACUGUGAACUGGUAAGGCUCAUCACGGUCUGCCAUGUCCUUGAUCCUGCCUUUGGGGGAGGCUUUGCAAGGCAUGCUGGGAUGAGUCCAAGAUGUCCAUAGUGAGAAGACAGCAAUGGAGGAUUCACUGAUCACACAGCCCCUUUCCUUUGGUCCCUGUGUCCUGGCCAACUGCACCUUUGCUCUGUAGCGCUAGCUGGUCUGGAACGUACUACAACCGUGGCCUGGAACUCAUGGACAAACUUUCUGUCUACACCUCCCAGGUACUGGGAUUGCAGGCAUGGGCCAGCAGGCGUGGCUUCUUCCUUCAUGACCCUGGAGAGCUAUGAAGGAUGCAUACUUUGUCGACACAAGGCCGAGUCUGGUCUUACACACAAAGAUGACUGUAAUCCUUUUCAAUAUUUACUGAUUUGUGUAAGUGUUUCCCAUGUCCCACAUGUAGAAGCCAGAAGACAAUUUGUAUGAAAUCGCUCCGUCCUUCUACCAUGUUAUGUCCUAGAAGCAAACUCAGGUUUGUGUGGCAAGUGCCAUUACCAUCUGAGUCACCUCACACCCUCAAAUGUUUGUGAUUUGAGUGUGCUCUUUGGAAGGGAUACAGACACAUGGCACAAUUCAGAAGCAUGCGGAUGUGAUGGCUCACACCUUUAUUCCCAGUACCUACGGUCAGAGGCACACAGAUCUCUGAUGGCAGCCUGGUCUACACUGUGAGUUCCAGGCCAGCCAGAGUUACAUAGUGAGGCCCCAUCUCAAAGGAAAAACCAUAUAGAAAGUUGUAUGUUGGAGGCCAAAUCUUUCCUAUACUUGCCCUUCCCUGUUCCACAGCAACCUCAUUCUUUAGCGGUCACCAUAGUUACCAUUUUCUUGUGCAGUCUUCUGGAAAUAACACAUGAACAAUUAAACAUGUGUAAGGUCUUCCCCUCAUUCAAACAGCAGCAUUCCCAUGGGCUGCUAUGCACUCUGCAUCUUGGUUUAAGUGAAAGAGAGAAUAUGAAGACAACUGUGUGUGUAUGUGUGUGUGUAUCUCAGAAGCCUCAUUUUUCAUGGCUGUAUACUAUUUUGAUAUGGGAAAUUAUGUCAUAGCUGAUUUAACCAGAUUCUCAUUCAUGCACAUUUCAUUUGUUUUCUUUUUAGCAGUUGUAGGUAAGCCAGUUGGUGGUGGUGCAUGGCUUUAAUACCAGGACUUGGGAGGCAGAGACAGGUGGAUCUGAGUUUGAGGUCAGCCUUGUCUAAAAGCAGGGUGAGUUCCAGAACAACCAGGACUAUACUGAGAUACCCUAUCUCAAAAAAAAAAAAAAAAAAGUUGUAGGUAAGAAUCUUGAACUAUUGUGUAUAUUGCUGGGUGUAUUGCUAGGAUAAGGUCAGAGAGCUGGAGUUCCAAAGAGCAUGCGUGUUUGUGAUCCAGUGUCAGAUCGGUUGCAACAGAAGUGCCAUGAACUCAUUUAAUUAGUAAGUUAAGAGUGCUGAGGCUUGAAUUUUGCCCAUUUCACAGGUGACUGGUAUUGUGUUAUAUAAUGUGACGUUAUAUUAUUCUUUUUAAAAAGUUUUAAAAUACAAACAUGUAAAAUU
rnacentral:lncRNA from 1 species